GCAUUUCAAGUUGGGAUAUAUACAUACAUAGCUGGUCCCAUUUUUCCACAAAAGUACCGCAUUACGAAGAGCGCCCUACCAAAAAUAUGCCAUUACCAGAAUAGUGCUCUUUCGAAGUGUAUCCGAAUGAAUUCUGAUCUCGUAUUUCUCACAACAUUUCCAGCUACCUUUUGGGUAAUUUAAAAUUUCUAAAGAGCAAAUAACUUGUUCCGUUAUCUCUUGUGCAUAGUUUGGUUAGUAGCAGUGAUGAAAAGUAUGCACAAUUAUGAAUUUUACCACCAAUCUAACUGUAAUCUACUCUUUACGCACAAUCAACUACUUUUUGGCACUAUUUGAUGAAAGAUGAAAAUAUGUACAUACAUAGGCUAUGUGCCAAACGGUAGAAAAAUUAAAAUUCUGAUAGGUAAAAGCGAUAUAUUGAAGUUCUUCGUGGUGAGAAAAGAAAUGGUGCUCUUGAUAAGGAAAGAUCUUGACUCUUUCUGAAUAUUUUGUAUUUAUCCGAAAUAUUGCAAACAUAAAUUAAGGUGAAAGAGUUAAGUAAAAACAAUGUUAAAAUAAUAUUUUUAUAAUUGGUUUAAAGAUCUUAAUGUAAAUGUAUUUGUGAAAAUAAAAUAUAUAAGCACCUUACAUAUGUGUUUCGCAUGCAAGUAGCGUCGUAGUAGCCUAGCAC